rnacentral:rRNA from 1 species
GAGUCAGGAGUCGUCACAGUGCUGCAUGGCUGUCGUCAGCUCGUGCCGUGAGGUGUAUGGUUAAGUCCUGCAACGAGCGCAACCCUCGUCGCUAGUUGAUUUCUCUAGCGAGACUGCCCCGCAAAACGGGGAGGAAGGUGGGGAUGACGUCAAGUCAGCAUGGCCUUUAUAUCUUGGGCUACACACACGCUACAAUGGAUGGCACAAUAGGUUGCAACAGCGCGAGCUGAAGCUAAUCCCCAAAGCCAUCCUCAGUACAGAUUGCAGGCUGAAACCCGCCUGCAUGAAGUCGGAGUUGCUAGUAACCGCAAAUCAGCAUGUUGCGGUGAAUACGUUCUCGGGCCUU